GGAGACCCUGGAAUGCCAGGAGAGAUUGGUCAAAUGGGACCUGAGGGCCCUCCAGGACAGAAGGGUUCUGUUGGGCCACCUGGUAUUUCAGGUAUCGAUGGAAUGAAGGUAAGAUAACAGAUAUCUUCACUUUAAAUUCGUAUGGCUUUUAAAACACUGUAAAUUUCCUGUUUUUGCCUUUAGCCACUUUAAAUUAUAGGACACUGGUUCUUAUGACCUGUGACAAAACAUCUCCAGCAAUGGCAAU